rnacentral:rRNA from 1 species
UACGUAGGGGGCAAGCGUUGUCCGGAAUUAUUGGGCGUAAAGCGCGCGCAGGCGGCCUAUUAAGUCUGAUGUGAAAGCCCACGGCUCAACCGUGGAGGGCCAUUGGAAACUGGUAGGCUUGAGUGCAGGAGAGGAGAGCGGAAUUCCUGGUGUAGCGGUGAAAUGCGUAGAGUAUCAGGAGGAACACCUGCGGUGUAGACGGCUUACUGGACGGUAACUGACGCUGAGGCACGAAAGCGUGGGUAGCAAACAGG